AGAUUGAACGCUGGCGGCAUGCCUUACACAUGCAAGUCGAACGGCAGCACGGGAGCAAUCCUGGUGGCGAGUGGCGAACGGGUGAGUAAUACAUCGGAACGUGCCCAAUCGUGGGGGAUAACGCAGCGAAAGCCGUGCUAAUACCGCAUACGAUCUAUGGAUGAAAGCGGGGGAUCGCAAGACCUCGCGCGAUUGGAGCGGCCGAUAUCAGGUUAGCUAGUUGGUGGGGUAAAAGCCUACCAAGGCGACGAUCUGUAGCUGGUCUGAGAGGACGACCAGGCCACACUGGAACUGAGACACGGUCCAGACUCCUACGGGAGCAGCAGUGGGAAUUUUGGACAAGUGGCGCAAGCCUGAUCAGCAAUGCCGCGUGCAGGAUGAAGGCUUGGUGUAACUGUCUUUGUACGGUAACGUAACGGUUCUCGUCUAAUACGAGGGUACUAA
rnacentral:rRNA from 1 species